UGUGCAUUUGUGGAUAUUUCUGUGAGUACCUGCAUUGUUCAUGGGCACAUUAGAAGUGAUGUUAGAAGCCAAGUUGUGAUCUACAGUGUCUCCUGCAGAGGCCUGAUGGAGGCUGCCCGACUAGCAACGUCGCACCCCUCCAGCCACAGCAUCUGUCAGGAAAAUCUUUUUUGCAAACUCAAUCUACAUCUGCUGCGAUUUUCAGAGGACUGGAGAGGUAAAAGUGACAAGAUUUCACAACAACCUUGAGGGUGUCACAGUGCUGCCAAACAAGAAUGCUGCUGUCACGUCGAGAUCGAUGCAGCUCUCCUCCAUCCCUGCAAACCCAUCACAUCCAUCCAGAUUUUCAGCCAUUUCUCUUCACCUCUUAAACCACCAUCACCACUGUCUAGACUCCACUGGGGGAAUUUCCUGUACAGCUCACAGAAUGACUACACCUCUAAAUGAUGAUAUGAUGGGGUCAAAUUGCUAAAGACUCCUCACAUAUUUCUUCAUCUUUUUUGUUGUGCGCAGUAAAUCAAAGAAGCUUC